AUGUCGACUAGUUAUCAUCCUCCCUGGAAGCUAAUCCUGAAGAUGGAUGCUAUACCAUCAUUCACAGUGGAUCUUGCAAGCACUGACCAUAAUCUUCCCAGGCAACCAUCACAGGAGGAAUGCUGUAAUACAAAAACAGCUUUCCCAAGGCAAAGAAGGAUAUUCUGUGAAGACAGACCCAACAUUCUGCUACGCAGACAGGCUCCUGGAUCUCAUCUUGGAUCAAUGUCCCCCUUGAUCCAGCGCCGUAUGUGGGGAAGCUGUGCGAGCUAUCUCCCCAGUGUAAGAGGCCUGACAAGGAGGCCAUAGCUGGAUUUGUCUCCCGCUUCAGUCUUGAGGGGGUGACUGAAGCCAAGUGGGUGACUGACGCCUGCUUGAUUGAAGCGGGGUACAUGGGUCCCCCUCCUCUCCCCAUCAAUCUUUGUAGUUGGUUGCAUUUCCUAAAGCCUCAGUAGUUCACUUUACUUGACAUCACAUCAUUUUGUUACUUUUUAUAUAAUUUGUCAAGCAUUCGGACUGGAGAUUUGAGUUACAAAUUGAAUAAAUCAGUGGGUCCUGCGCACUGUAGGGACACAAGGGCGGCAGGGUGACUAUACUAGGUUUAUGGCUGUAAUUAUAUUUUUAUGUCAAAUUUCUCACUUUUUUUCUCAAGUUUUCAUGUUGAUCAAUAUUUUGGAUAUGCUAGCCUAUUGUAAAUGAUCAAAUGUCUGAUCAAUUCAUACAAUUCUGAAUAUAGUCAUUUAUAAUGCUAAUGCGGAGGCACCAAUAAAUAGUCCAGUACACUUAUUGUAUGCUGUUUUUCAUGUACAUUCCCUUACGUCUAAGCUUCUAAGGUGAUUCAAGCUUUAUAAAUUGUUGUGAGGAAGUGUAUCGGUGAACUAUAUUCUGUAAUAUAAUUACAAAACAAUAGAAAUGCAAUUGUGUAUUGCUGCGGUUUGUCUGAUAUCCAACAGUCCAUGAUCAACUCAGAGCAUUUUGCAGAGAAAAUGGGUUGAGGAAUACAUACUAUUUAGGCUCGGAAUGACGUGGCCCAUUGUUUACCUUGUUACCUGGUAAUGACCACAAGGGAGUUUCAAACAGCUGUCAAUCAAGGCGAGGUCAUGAAUAUAAGCUCUACGCCCACUCAGCCUGUUCUUUCAGGCUUCCUGAUAGUUAGAGAUGAGAGAAAAGGUAAUAUUUCUUCAAUUCUGAGCAUUUUAAUAGCGUAAAAAUAUUAUGGGUUUUGGUCAUAGGCUAUUUUUACUUGGGAAAUAGGAUGACUGCAAGACCUUAAAUGUUAAAACGGGGGGGGGGGUCGAAAUUGUACUUCACACUGAGCCAGCUGUGUGCGAAGGUAACCACUGAAACCCUAUGGAGAGAAGGGUUUGAGAGCUAGGUUGGAGCAUGUGCUUUCAGGUCCAGUAGCACUCUAGGAUGCAGGCCCAAACCUAUCUUCUGAUCAUCAAAUGAACUCUAACCUUAGCGGCAAAGCUUGUGUUUAAGGUUGAGCAUAAUAUUGCUAGCAAUAAUCAGGAUAUUUUGGAUUAACCUUUACUUGUCGAUACUUUCUUUGUUCUCAAUUCAGAUGGCACCAGUGUCUUAAAAAAAUGUGUGUCCAGUUGCAGGUGGAACUCUGAUAACGAGGACUUGUUGUGUGUGUAACUAUUUGAGUCACACUGACGCAAUGUCAAUACCUCCUCUAAAUGUGGCCGGCCGGGGGGGGGGGCGGCGGCGGCGUCAUCGUUCAGGUGGGAUGUUAAACGGGUGUCCUGACUCUCUGUAGUCACUAAAGAUCUCAUGGCACUUAUUGUAAGAGUAGAGGUGUUAGCCAGGACACAAGAGGUUACAUUUCCAAUCUGGCCUUCAUACCAUCACGGUCACCUAAUCAUCCCUAGCUUACAGUUGGCUCAUUCAUUCUCCUUCCUCUCCCCUGUAACUGUCCCCCAUGUCAUUGCUGUAAAUGAUAAUGUGUUGUCAGUCAAUUUACCUGGUAAAAUUAGGGUUAAAUAAAAUAUUUUUGGGGAAGAUCGGUUGAAGUAGGAAAUAACCAACACUGCGCAGUACUCUUAGGUUAUGCCACAAGAGGGCGACAUUGACUAAGAAAUGGGCCCCAUAAAAUUAGUUGGUACACUGAUUCGUGAUUUUCUUUUCAUAUUUAGUUUAGCAAAUGAUUUUCACAACAGUCUUCUGCGCUUGUAUACAACUAUCCAACAUACUAUUCAAGUAGCCCAUCUAGAGUUCGUGCAGCGUAUCAUUCAUUAUACAAACUGUCAGUGGCUUUAGUUUAUUUUACAGUUCAAAUUAAGUUAUUGUAUUCCAGGUAGUUUUUUUUGGGGGGGGGGGGGCUGCGUUUUGUGCAAAUUUAAUAAUCGUGCCAGGCCAGUCUGUCGCCCUGUGCUGUAGAAUAAUAAAAAAACACAUUUACAGCAAGUGAUUUCGUUCGCCAGUAGCGCGCACUGGUUUGCAGCUGCCUCUCCUAGUAUGUGAAUAUUCAUUCCAGGCAGUUUUUACGGUGGGAACGUGAGAGUACUCCCCUUCCCCCAGCACCCCCUCCCCUGGGCUCCGCGAGCGCGCACGCGUGCAAAACCGUGUGGGAAUGGCUGUUGUGUGACCGGGGGUUGGGCCGCUAGGAGCUGCUAGAGUUUGUAAUGUCCGCCAUGUUGGCCAUGGCGUAUUGAACCAGGGAGAGCGGAGCCUCGGAAAAAAGAGACCGACAGAGAGCGAUCAAAACCCGGGCCUUCCCGGCUCCGUUCGCAUCUCCAUAUACCUACCCUACUACCAAUCGAACGGUUGACUUCUGGCGAACAUCGCAGAUCCAUCCAUGAGAACUCAAAGCAGUACUGUUGUGAACCUUAGGUUAUCGGUUAGAUUAAUGCUGA
rnacentral:lncRNA from 13 species